GUGUGUGUUCGUCUCUGUGGUUCCAGCCAUAAGUGCUAAAGGGAGAGACCUGAGAAGAUGAAGUUCCAUGUUCAAGGGGGACUCAUCUGAGGAGGUUUAGGAAGAUCUGGGAUGUGUCUAAUGACACUGAAGGGGGAUUACAUUUGAGGGUUCACAGUCAUCUCUUGCAUAUCGUAGACUUCCUGGAGUAGGCUGAUGGAGGCGGAGAUUUUCUCAGAAAACAAAAACCCAAGGAAUCUCCUUGAUGUGCUGGCUAAAUAUCUUAAGCUGUCCCACUCUCCUUUCUCAAAAUUCACUUCAGAGCUUCAAUACUACUUAUGGUUUGCUAAAUUUUUUGCAUUGAUUUUGUUCACAGUGUUCUAAAGAUGCAUUCACAUUUUUCUGCAUCUGAUUCUCAACUCCAAACAUUAAGUCCUAAAUUAAUUUUAAUGAACCUG
rnacentral:lncRNA from 1 species